rnacentral:tRNA from 1 species
GGAGAGGUGACCGAGCUGGCCGAAGGUGCGCGACUGGAAAUCGCGUGUGCCCCAAAAGGGUACCGUGGGUUCGAAUCCCACCCUCUCCGCCA